AAUCCACGCAGUGCACUUCCAAUAUAAUAUGUAUCACAUUGGAUUAUAACAGUUUCUCCCCCCGCCCCCAUAACUAAAUAGAUCAUGAGAUCCUUGAGGGCACUGAACAAAGAGUUGUAGGAAUCUAUGAUCAGUGAAGCAGAUCCAUUUAGACAUUUUACCAGCUCAUCAAUAACCAAGACUGGUUCAGUAGGGUUUUUUUAAAGUGUUUUCAUAGUUCUUAAUUAGAAUGAGCUAAAGCUCAUUAUUCGAAUGAUUUCAAAUUUGACCUUGUUUCAGUCAAAGAAAAUCUGCUUAAAAUGAAGUAUUAUGUGGCUAUUAAAUUAGUGUAUUUGGGUAUUUGGGAAUAGUAGAGGGAAUGGGGCUAUGGACAUUUAAGGUCAGUUGCUUGGAGGAUAAGAGAGGUGGGUAAAAUUAACUUACCAAUUAAAAUGUUCCAGAAAAUUUGAAAAACUAAGCUGUCAAAAAAAAAAAGGAGCAAAGAACCUGCACAUUGCUACUCAGCAUAAUUUUGCUUAGAAAAUAGCAUUAUUUCUGCUUGAUCUGAUUUUGUAUGGUUAAGUUUGGAGGAAAUGUUAUUUAUUAUAUACACAGCUAAGCUUAUGCAAUUAUCCACAAAUGUUCUAGUGUAGUACAUACAGCCAACAACGUGGUUGCUUGUUGCAUCAAUUUGGAAAAGAGAGAAAAAAAAUUAGCCAUGUAAUAGUUAAUUCAAUUUGUAAAAUUAAAUGUGUAUUGAAAAUAUGCCUGGUAAAUAUUAUGCCAUCUGCACAUGCUCAAACAGUGAGCCUGGUUAAUAUUUUAUAGUUUAUCUGAUAAAGUUAACAAAAGAAUUUAGUCAGAGUGGAGACAUACACUGAAUAUUUCAUCACCUUCUUAAUUGCAGAAUACAGACAAGACAUUUUUUUCCCUUUGGGAAAAAUAAAUGUUAAAAGUUAUUACAGAUGGAAUCAGUUUGGCAAUUAGGUUGAAAUCCAACUGAAACCAAGCAGAAAUUGACGGCUGCAAACAUCACAAUACCAAAGUAUUUUCAGCCAACUCCAUCAAUUUACAUGAUGAAGCAGAAAUGUUGAUAGCAAUGCUGUGUUACUCGGCUAGCAGAGGUUAUAUUAACACAGAAGAAAAACUGGCUUUGUGCCUUUUUUCCCAAUAGUUAAUUCACAGCCAUCAAGAGCUGUCAUUCUUAUGCACAGCAGACAAUAUGAUAUACCUAAGUCUUUUCAUUCUGACUUCUGAUUUAAAGGUCUUCAGCUUGUGCUGUGGACCUUAACCUUGAAGCCAAGUGCAAAUUAGCUUUAAAUCAAUGAAGCUGAUUAAAGCUGCAUUGUGGUGGAGCCCUUAAUAGAAGAAGGGAGGGGAAGGAACCACUUGAAAACAGCAAAAGAUUGGCCUCUCUUAACUUGGAACAUAUGUAAUGCUUUUCAGCUUUCCUCUACCCUGACAGAACCAUGAAUGGUUUUAAGGCUAUUUACCUGCUAAGAGAACGGAACAAAAUUUUCCAAUUCAGUGGAAGAGGCCAAGUGAGAAUCGAAGGCAUUUUUGACAAGCACUAGAAUAUAAAAGGUUAUUUUUAAAAAAGAAAUAAAGAGGGGGGAACGUCAAAACAUCUCCCCAGUAGAGAACAAGAGAAUCAAGUUUCUCUCAUGUGAAAAAAAAGUCUUAUGUUUUAUAAACACUUUGGGUUUCUGCUUAUUUUUGUUUUAUUUUGUAUCUUAAGAUAUACCACUUCUCAGAAACAAGAGGUAGUUGCCAUCUUUGGAGCAUCUAAAGAAAAUUUUUUCCUCCCUCCCAAAAUGAACAGACCUCCCACAAAUAUGCCUCUUUUCUUUAAAAGUGGCCAGAAUAAACUCUAGCCAAAGGCAUGACCAUUUAUUUAUCUACACCCCACCUCCAGCACCACCCACCCAUCACCACAGAAACUUUGCCCAAGGGAUUUGCCAAUUCUUCCUAAUUUCCUCAUGGCUGUCAGAGUCCAGACAAAUUCAUUUUUUAACCAAAGCAUCAUUCUUUUCAUAACAUCUUCAGAAAUACUAAAAUGAUAGACUAGGAACAAUAUUUAAAUAGAGAGAGGCUCGUUGUUAUUGCCUAAUUUAAUUCCUUAAUAUCGCAAUUCAAUCUACCCUUCGUGGGAACACCAUCCCACUGUAAUAGUGACUUUCUUGACCUUGUCCAAUGUGUGGAUGAAUCCUUAUCCUUCUGUUUCAGGCAUAAUGACGUGGAAAUUGUAGAAAAGAAAUUCUCACCAAGAACCUCAGGGGAAUAAAACAAAUACAAAAAGGCAGACCACGCCUACUUCCUACCUUAGUGGGUGCAAAGUGCUUUCAACAGUGCUUGCCUUAUAGCAUGUGCUCAACCAACAUGAGCCACUGGCUAUUAUCCUACUGAAUUGGGUGCACACACUUAGCCAUCAGAGAGCCCUCAAUUGUAUCUCCUUAGCUCCGCCUUAAAAGCAUGUACUCCAAAAGCUCUGCCUUGAAACCCCCCAGAUUUCCUCUCCUACUCCAAAUUCCAUGGAUGCUUAAUGGAGGAGUAACAAGGGAACUGGGCUAGAAAAGAAAUUAGUCGCUUGCACCUAAGUGGCUAAAAAUGUACUAAGAGUCAUCAAAGGUAAAGAUCAAUUUUAAACGCCAGGUGCAUUAAAAAUAGAGCAGGUGACAUCCUUCUCACUUUUGAAAGUUAAAGAGCUAUCCCUUACCUGCAAUUCUAAAACCAUAUUUUACCUUGCAUAAAUGUCCAAGGCAAGACAAAGGAGUAAUAGAGAUCCCAACUGGCCAAUGACAACAGAAAAAGAACAGAAUAGCGAUCGGUGGGGGGGGGGGGUAGCGGAAUGCGAGGAAAGAAGAAAGAGAAAAGACAAAUGACUGAGAAAAAAAGUGGGAGGGAAAAAGACCACAGAGAAUAAGCUGAGGUCAAGUGUAACGUUCCCCUGUGAUGUGGGUGAGGAGCAACUGAGGGAGGAGAGACAGCCCUGCUCUGCACAAAGUCAAGGUUAUGUGGUUCUUGCCAUCUACUGAGCUGUGGCUACCUAAUCUCAGGGGGGAGAGAAAAGUCAAGGGGAGAAGGCUGAAGCAUCAGCAUGACUGGACAGCCAGCAUCUAGACAGUGCUCAUCAUCAUGACUGCUUAAACCACAACUGCCCUCUGUCAACAACAGGAUGUUGUGAGAGCAAUCAAAUGACCUGUUAGGAGCCGACAUCUCUGGAAAGAGGUACCACUUAAAUGCAGUGUGUUAUUACUGAUGGUGAUGGUGAAGACAAGGAUGCUGACUGUUUCUACUCAGGAUCUCUGCAGCUAGAACGUCUGCCUCAGCGGAGCCCGAGCUGCUUCCAAAUCUCAUUACUGCUUACCUGUAACGAAGCAUCAUUUAAAAUAACCCCGGGAAAGCAUUUUAGAGGUUGCCAACAAAAUGGAAAGUAAAAUUAACUAUUCGAAGAACUUUCAUCUGAUGUGAGAAAAUCACAGAUACUUUUUACUUUUCAUUUCGUUUGCCAAGAAGACAUUCACUUGAAUACAUCAUAUCUGUGACUAGGACUAACUUUACAAGUGGAUAGUGUCCCAAAGUGGGAAAAUUCAAGAAACUUUCCUUGCCCCAAAAUAUCUCCCUUGUCCAGAUAUAAAAAUAAUCAACAAUCUGUCAUUAAAGAUUUGUUCCUCUGGACUUCUCAGCAAGUAGAUAUCCAUUUUUAAUAAUGCAAAAGCUUCCGGAUUUUAUCAAUAAAUUCAGCUAGCAAAAAUACUAAAAAACAAAAUAAAAAUUAAGUUACUGAUUCAACAAAAUUUAUUGGCACUGAAUGUGCUAGGCAAUUUUCUAAGGGUGAGAAUAUAAUUGUGAAUUAACUUGACAAAAAUUCCUACCUUUAAAUGAUUUUAGAUUCUAAAGGGACAGAAAAAAAUAAACCAAAUGAUUACUGUACUGUAAUGUAAUUUAAAAAAUUCAACUAGCUUUGUGCCCUAAAAAUAGCUACUGUUUUGUUAUCCGAUGUUUUUUGACCACUUCGAGAUGGGAUUCUUAGCUACACAGAAUGGUUAGUGAUCUGAAAACCAGGGUGGCACCAGCAUAAAAGGUAUUUAAAAAAUUGAAACGCAAAUAAAAGAGAGUAGCAAGCCCCCCAAGUGAAAGUCAUUCAUUUGGCGGUUUUACUUAAAACUGGCUAACCCAGGGUGGUUCUAAAGAUCUAGCACUAGAAUAGGCAAAAUGGCAGAUUCAAAGAGACUCAAAACAAAGCAUCUUCUGCAGCUCCAAUGAAAAACAGCAUCCAAAGAGUCCCAGUAGUCAAGCUUAACUUCCUCCUGCUACUGCAGGAGGAUGAAAGUUUUGCCUCCUCCCACUUAUUUCUGGUUUUCAGUUUUGCAGCCACAGAACUGGAAGAAGGAAGCAGUUCUGGGAUUGCCAGCAGGGGGACCAGGAUCCAUGGCAGAAAGACCAGGAUACCCUCUAUCCAGUCAUCGGCACAGUCAGGGCUAAAAUGCCUCCUUCAUCUUCCAAUUGCUGCUCUACAGAGUCAGAGCCCUCUUAGCUGACAGAGGGCACAUGUUAGGAUGAGCAUCUUUCAAAGGACCCACUAUACUUUCUUCCAGGUGAAGGUGCUGGCAAGCUUUCAGAAUUUUUUUAAGCCCUUUAUGCAUCACAGAAAGCAAAGAGAAACUUGUUAGAGCCUUGAACUCCUGGAGGGGAAAUAGGCUAGCCUUCCACAGACCUGGACCAAGCUCAACACCUGCUAACAAAACAAUUACUUAUUAGCCAGCUGCACAGGCUGAGAUGAGCCAUCAGUCAACCCAAGCUUCUCACCCCAGAAAGACCCCCCAAACAUCAGUCCCAGGCAUAGAGCAUACCCAUGCCUCAGGCACCCUGCCACUGACAAAUAUGAUGAAUAGGAAGUAUGUUCUGCCCACUUUUCUUGAGCAUCUUGAAAACCUCUGCGUUUCACAGCCAAGUGGUUUCUGAGUGUGUGUCGAGGUAUUCUUGCAUGUGUGUAUGUGUUGAUAUCUAAUUAUGCGUAGGUACAAAUAGGAAUAGAAAUACGGGCAUUCCCAACAGGACCACUUACUGUAGUGCAAGGACUCGGCUAUAUCCUGCCAGCCCUGAGAGGUUGUUGUGGGCUCCUGUGUAACACACCAGUAGAUACACGGCAUCGAGAGAAAUCAGACUGAAUCACGACCUGGGAAGCAUAAUUUUCCAGCAUCUUUAUGCUCAUAAUCAACAAAACUUAUGUUAGCAAGGCUGGAAGACGCUCUUGUGAAUCUAUUUCUCAUCCCUUUACACUAUCAACAUCCCUACAACUCACUACUCUCCCUACCCCAUGUGUAACUCUGCACCUCCCAGUGUCUGUUAACUCAAGCUAGGACGUUCAUGUUUCCCUACAGGUUUCCAAUAUGGUUCAACCAAUGUUGAAAUGCCCAUGAAUCCUCCCAGAUCUUGCCUCCCUCUUCUGGAGUCCACGUUUUCUCCUCCAUGUUUCUGCUGAGAAAGUCUCAAGUGUGUUGGUCAGCAUUCAGCUUCUGACUUUGAAAAACCCUGAUGAAGCCACGACGACCUCCCACUCGAUGCUAUCGCAGGUCACCUGUCUCCUCUCCUCAGCAAGACAUGUUCACAAAUGGCAAAGCCACCAUGCAAGGAGGCAGCUUUUUGAGAGCAGCAGCGGGACCACAGGAAGAUGGUGACUGGGUGGUCAUAUUCUAUGAGAUGGCAAAAGUGUGGAUUGCUCUUGGCAGCCACUGCCAGAUUGGAUGGCAUUUUCCUCCUACUCCUCAGUGACACUGAAGAAUGUGCAUUCUUCUAUCCAUUCACUAAAUAAGAACUCUACAGAUCCCCUGUGAGUGGUUUUUCAGGGUACAAAUGUACCAUCAAUCUGCUCAUAAGACUAAAGUUAGUACAUGCGCUUGUCUUUAUGACAGUUCCUGAACAAGGUGCCAUGUUUAAAUGCAGGGUGACUGACAAAAUCUGUUCCCAAGCAGUUUAUGCAAAGAAAGGGAACCAACUAAGACGACAUUGCCUUUAUAAGUAAGGAGUAGGGAAAAUAAAACAAUAUGAUUUUUAAGGACAAAUCUUCUCCUAUAAAAAAUUCUGUAUAUAGCUACUGGCCUAACAGACUCUGUGCUGUGUUCUUUAAAUAAUGGGAAUAAUACAGAUGAAACAUUGAGGCAGGAAGCCUUCCUUCACAGAUGCUACAUAAUAACCUUGAACCAUGGGAUUAAAAUGUAAACACGUGAGUACCCUUUUACAUCCCUCUGCCCCAUCUUCGCC
rnacentral:lncRNA from 1 species